rnacentral:tRNA from 1 species
GAAAAAGUACACAAGAACUGCUAACUCAUGUGUCCAUGCGUAAAAUCAUGGCUUUUUCA